rnacentral:rRNA from 1 species
GACGAACGCUGGCGGCGUGCUUAACACAUGCAAGUCGAACGGCAAGGCCCUGCUUUUGUGGGGUGCUCGAGUGGCGAACGGGUGAGUAACACGUGAGUAACCUGCCCUUGACUUUGGGAUAACUUCAGGAAACUGGGGCUAAUACCGGAUAGGAGCUCCUGCUGCAUGGUGGGGGUUGGAAAGUUUCGGCGGUUGGGGAUGGACUCGCGGCUUUACAGCUUUUUGGUGGGGUAGUGGAUUACCAAGGCUUUGACGGGUAGUCGGCCUGAGAGGGUGGCCGGCCACAUUGCGCAUGAGAGACGGUCCAGACUCCUGCGGGAGGAAGGAGUGGGUAAUAUUGCACAGUGGCCGGAAGCCAGAUGCAGCAACGCCGCGUGCGGGAUGACGGCCUUCGGGUUGUAAACCGCUUUCGCCUGUGACGAAGCGUGAGUGACGGUAAUGGGUAAAGAAGCACCGGCUAACUACGUG